AGUGAACGCUGGCGGUAGGCCUAACACAUGCAAGUCGAACGGCAGCACAGUAAGAGCUUGCUCUUACGGGUGGCGAGUGGCGGACGGGUGAGGAAUACAUCGGAAUCUACUUUUUCGUGGGGGAUAACGUAGGGAAACUUACGCUAAUACCGCAUACGACCUACGGGUGAAAGCAGGGGAUCUUCGGACCUUGCGCGAUUGAAUGAGCCGAUGUCGGAUUAGCUAGUUGGCGGGGUAAAGGCCCACCAAGGCGACGAUCCGUAGCUGGUCUGAGAGGAUGAUCAGCCACACUGGAACUGAGACACGGUCCAGACUCCUACGGGAGGCAGCAGUGGGGAAUAUUGGACAAAGGGCGAAAGCCUGAUCCAGCCAUACCGCGUGGGUGAAGAAGGCCUUCGGGUUGUAAAGCCCUUUUGUUGGGAAAGAAAAGCGGCAGGUUAAUACCCCGCUGUUCUGACGGUACCCAAAGAAUAAGCACCGGCUAACUUCGUG
rnacentral:rRNA from 1 species